rnacentral:tRNA from 1 species
AGAUUAAAAUAAAAUUAUUUACAAUAAUAAAAAGUUUUUAAGUAAACAUAAUCUA